rnacentral:rRNA from 1 species
AGUGAACGCUGGCGGUAGGCCUAACACAUGCAAGUCGAACGGCAGCACAGUAAGAGCUUGCUCUUACGGGUGGCGAGUGGCGGACGGGUGAGGAAUACAUCGGAAUCUACUUUUUCGUGGGGGAUAACGUAGGGAAACUUACGCUAAUACCGCAUACGACCUACGGGUGAAAGCAGGGGAUCUUCGGACCUUGCGCGAUUGAAUGAGCCGAUGUCGGAUUAGCUAGUUGGCGGGGUAAAGGCCCACCAAGGCGACGAUCCGUAGCUGGCCUGAGAGGAUGAUCAGCCACACUGGAACUGAGACACGGUCCAGACUCCUACGGGAGGCAGCAGUAGGGAAUAUUGGACAAUGGGCGAAAGCCUGAUCCAGCCAUACCGCGUGGGUGAAGAAGGUCUUCGGGUUGUAAAGCCCUGUUGUUGGGAAAGAACAGCAGUAUGUUAAUCCCCGGCUGUUCUGACGGUACCUAAAGAAUAAGCACCGGCUAACUUCGUG